GCUUGCCGUAGCAGUGCAGUUUGCUUCAGAAACCCUCCAACUUCCCCAGCUCCACCUGUAUAGAUCUGCUACAAGUGGCAUUUUGCUUUUGAUCCAUCCUGUUUUUUCAUCAAUUUCAAAGAGGCCUUUGGGGUCCUGGUCAACCCCGGGUCCCUCCAGCAUGUAUAUCACCUCCCCGGUGAAAACCUUGUCUGAUUUGAUCUGUGAGAGUGGACAUGGAAGGUGUUACAGCCGUAUGAUCUAUGUUGAGGAACUAAUGGUGGGCUGUGUGUUUACCUGGACCAGAUCUUCAGGGAGCUGUUUGCUGUUUUCUGACACUCUGAUUGGUGGAAUGAUCCAGUCUCUCUUGACCCUGACCUGUGGACCUGCACUCCUGUGUCUCCAGGGGUACAGCGCAGCUGGCUUCAGAUCGCUCUGUGUUACCUGACUGCUGCUGCUGACCUGCAACAAAAACACAUGAAGCACUUAUUUACAAUCUGACAUGAACACAACCCACCGCAGUCUUUCUUCAUCUGUAUAAAUUCUGUGCCGCUAAUGUCAGUAAAUUGCAAAAAUAAUGGCCUUGCUGACUGAUGUCAUGAAAAGCAAUCUUUCUCCAUUGAGGACUAAAAAGUACCUCUGUAUUCUGAAUUAAAUAUUUUACAAGCAUUUUAUACAGUUAAACAUUCAUUUACACAUUAAUCAUUACAAACUAGGCAUUUUAAUUUAAUUUGAUUCAGCAUUCCCUUGUGUAAAGAAGUGCUUAAUUGCAUUGAAUGUGCACUUCUGAUGUACUUUAGACAUAGUAUAGAGAAUAUUUCUACAAAAAUGUACUUGAAAAUAAUAUAAUAUUAAUAAAAUAAAAGGCACUUGCACUUAAGAAGUAGGCCUGCAUUGGAAUAUA